CCUACGGGGGGCUGCAGUGGGGAAUAUUGGACAAUGGGGGGAACCCUGAUCCAGCCAUGCCGCGUGUGUGAAGAAGGCCCUCGGGUGGUAAAGCACUUUCAGUGAGGAAGAACGCCUGGUGGUUAAUACCCAUCAGGAAAGACAUCACUCACAGAAGAAGCACCGGCUAACUCCGUGCCAGCAGCCGCGGUAAUACGGAGGGUGCGAGCGUUAAUCGGAAUUACUGGGCGUAAAGCGCGCGUAGGUGGCUUGAUAAGCCGGUUGUGAAAGCCCCGGGCUCAACCUGGGAACGGCAUCCGGAACUGUCAAGCUAGAGUGCAGGAGAGGAAGGUAGAAUUCCCGGUGUAGCGGUGAAAUGCGUAGAGAUCGGGAGGAAUACCAGUGGCGAAGGCGGCCUUCUGGACUGAAACUGACACUGAGGUGCGAAAGCGUGGGUAGCAAACAGGAUUAGAUACCCUUGUAGUC
rnacentral:rRNA from 1 species